AGCGAACGCUGGCGGCAGGCUUAACACAUGCAAGUCGAACGCAUCCUUCGGGGUGGGUGGCAGACGGGUGAGUAACACGUGGGAACAUACCUUUUGGUGCGGAAUAACUCAUGGAAACGUGAGCUAAUACCGGAUACGCUCCCUUGGGGAAAGAUUUAUUGCCGAAAGAUUGGCCCGCGUCUGAUUAGCUAGUUGGUAAGGUAAUGGCUCACCAAGGCGACGAUCAGUAGCUGGUCUGAGAGGAUGAUCAGACACACUGGGACUGAGACACGGCCCAGACUCCUACGGGAGGCAGCAGUGGGGAAUAUUGGACAAUGGGCGCAAGCCUGAUCCAGCCAUGCCGCGUGAGUGAUGAAGGCCUUAGGGUUGUAAAGCUCUUUUAUCCGGGAAGAUAAUGACUGUACCGGAAGAAUAAGCCCCGGCUAACUUCGUGCCAGCCGCCGCCGUAA
rnacentral:rRNA from 1 species